AAAAACCAAAAAAAAA
rnacentral:sRNA from 1 species